rnacentral:tRNA from 1 species
GGAGGGGUUCCUUAGUGGCCAAAGGGAUCAGACUGUAAAUCUGCCGGCUCCGCCUUCGAUGGUUCGAAUCCGUCCCCCUCCACCA